rnacentral:rRNA from 1 species
UACAGAGGUCCCAAGCGUUGUUCGGAUUUACUGGGCGUAAAGGGUGCGUAGGUGGCGAGGUAAGUUCGAUGUGAAAUCUCCGAGCUCAACUCGGAAAUGGCAUUGAAUACUAUCCCGCUUGAGGGUCGGAGGGGAGACUGGAAUUCUCGGUGUAGCAGUGAAAUGCGUAGAUAUCGAGAGGAACACCAGAGGCGAAGGCGAGUCUCUGGACGACUCCUGACACUGAGGCACGAAAGCUGGGGGAGCAAACAGG